rnacentral:rRNA from 1 species
UACAGAGGUCUCAAGCGUUGUUCGGAUUCAUUGGGCGUAAAGGGUGCGUAGGUGGCGCCGUAAGUCAGGUGUGAAAUUUCGGAGCUUAACUCCGAAACUGCAUUCGAUACUGGCGUGCUUGAGGACUGGAGAGGAGACUGGAAUUUACGGUGUAGCAGUGAAAUGCGUAGAUAUCGUAAGGAAGACCAGUGGCGAAGGCGGGUCUCU